UUAGGUCAUUCCAGUCUGAAAGCAGCAGCCGGAGGCCGACCGCUAAUGGAGCGAACAAGACGGAAGGUGAUUACAGCUCUCUGCUGCACGGCACCACUUCUAUCUAUCAAAUUAUCCUUCCGCGUGGAGCCACUAGAAAUGAUGAAGCUGUGACAUACACAAAGAGAAGAGAGAGACCUUAUCAUCAAGAGGACAGUUCUGUUUAUGUCAACGUGAGACCAGGAAAUAACAGCUCAGCCUGAAGGUCAUAUGAGACAAUGUUCCUGCCACAUAUAGAAGUUCUACUUACAGUUCUGAUUUUUGUUAUGAAUUUACUACCAUAUCCCAGCUGUCUUUAUUCUCUAACAAAGUUUGCUGACAAUAAUCACAUUGCUGUAAAAAUGUAUCCUGUGAUUUGCCUUGUAGGGUGCAUGCUGUGCUGCUUUAUUCUGCGCUGUAAUCUAAUAACUCAAAUAUGAGCUGAUUUAAUCCAGUUAUAUCUCUGCAAAAGUAACUUAUUACCAAGAUUCUAAAAUGAAAAUAUGAAAAUUGCUGCCAUUACUCUUAUUCAGCAUUUGUAGCUUUUCUGCUUUUCCUAUGCAUGCAGUCAAAACAAUAUUUGUGCCGUUUGAAUAUUUUGGUGCUUUUGUGGUAAUGAUAUGAGAUUAAAGUCUCGGGAGCAUUUUGAAAUGUUUAUCAGUAUUUUCAUGUCUUCUUUAUUACCUAUUAUUAUUUACAAGGAAAGCCCCAGCCCCUUAGGUUUAAACACAUUACUAAAUAUUUUGUUUAGUCCUUCAUUAUAAAUAUUAGUGAAGCUCAAAAUGUUUUGUAGCAGUUCAAAACUAAACAGAGACCAAAACAUGAAGCGAGGGAAGCAAAAUAUUUCAAAAUUGUUAGACCUACAAUUAUUAUAAGUAUGAGUAGUUAGACUGUGCCAAUGAUAUCCACAACAACCUCGGUCUUUCAGACCACCUUGAUGUUGGAGAUCAGUGCAUAUCUCCAAGACUCCAAAUGAAACAAAAUGAAAAUAAUU